GAUGAACGCUGGCGGCGUGCUUAACACAUGCAAGUCGAACGAUGAAGCCCAGCUUGCUGGGUGGAUUAGUGGCGAACGGGUGAGUAACACGUGAGUAACCUGCCCUUAACUCUGGGAUAAGCCUGGGAAACUGGGUCUAAUACCGGAUAGGAGCGUCCACCGCAUGGUGGGUGUUGGAAAGAUUUAUCGGUUUUGGAUGGACUCGCGGCCUAUCAGCUUGUUGGUGAGGUAAUGGCUCACCAAGGCGACGACGGGUAGCCGGCCUGAGAGGGUGACCGGCCCCACUGGGGACGGGACAAGGGCCCGGCCCCCACCGGGGGGGAGGGGGGGGGAAAUUGGCCCAAGGGGGGCAAGCCUGAUGCAGGGCCGCCGGGGGGGGGAUGACGGCCUUGGGGUGGGAAACCCCUUUCAGUAGGGAAGAAGCGAAAGUGACGGUACCGGCAGAAGAAGCACCGGCUAACUAGGU
rnacentral:rRNA from 1 species